UACGUAGGGGGCGAGCGUUGUCCGGAUUUAUUGGGCGUAAAGAGCGUGUAGGUGGUUCGAAAGGUCGUGCGUCAAAUCCUGCGGCUCAACCGCAGUCCGCGUGCGAAACCAUCGAGCUAGAGUCCGGAAGAGGAGAGUGGAAUUCCAGGUGUAGCGGUGGAAUGCGCAGAUAUCUGGAAGAACACCAGUGGCGAAGGCGGCUCUCUGGGACGGUACUGACACUGAGACGCGAAAGCGUGGGGAGCAAACAGG
rnacentral:rRNA from 1 species